GGUAAAGCGAAUGAUUAGCGCAUUCGGGGACUCUUAGUCUUCGGGCGAUUCUCAAACUUUAAAUGCGCAUGAUGGUGUUGCUGUUUACUUAAGCAGUUUCGUUAGAAACGUCGGGUUCGUGGGCCACUUUUGGUAAGCAGAACUGGCGAUACGGGAUGAACCGUAAAUAUGGUUAAGGCGCCAAAUUGAACGCUUAGAGAUCCCAAAAAAGGUGUUGAUUCAUCGAGACAGCAGGACGGUGGCCAUGGAAGUCGGAAUCCGCUAAGGAGUGUGUAACAACUCACCUGCCGAAUGAAUUAGCCCUGAAAAUGGAUGGCGCUUAAGCGGUCAGCCGACACCAUAUCGUUGUACCAAAUAGUGGUGUAUAAUGAGUAGGAGGGCGUGGCGGUCGUAUCGAAGCGUACGGGCGACUGUGCGUGGAACGGCCGCUAGUGCAGAUCUUGGUGGUAGUAGCAAAUAUUCAAGUGAGAUCCUUGAAGGGCGAAGCGGGGAAGGGUUCCACGCGAACAUUGAUUGAGCGUGGGUGAGUCGUUCCUAAGCCGAGUGGUGAUUGCUAAUUAACGGCGAAAGGGAAGCAGGUUGACAUUCCUGCACACGGAUGUGGAAGCGGCGACGCCCCAUUUGGGGAGGUUACGUUGGCGGUGGCUCUGGGCAGAGUUGUCUUUUCUGUUUAACCGUCCUGCGCGCUGUGUGGAAUCCGCUUGUCGGGAGAAACACGCGUGCACGGGCAUAGCGCCGGGGUUUUACCGGCGUCCAGCUCGCCACCGACGACCCUUGAAACACCUCCUGCUGGACAAGGCACCUAUGUGUUUUGUUGGGAAAUCCACGCCGUAACGUACCCAUAACCGCAUCAGGUCCCCAAGGUGAACAGCCUCUGCUCAAUAUGAUCAAUGCAGGUAAGGGAAGUCGGCAAAUUAGACCCGUAACUUUGGGAAAAGGGUUGGCUCUAGUGCUGCGUGGGAGUGGUUGUCCCGUGUUGGCUGCGUUGGCUUGGCGGGUUGCGGUGGGAUUGGCAGGGUGAUUCCAGCUGUCCUACUGUGCCUGUUUGAACCUUCGUGUCGCGCUGGAUGACGCCCACGGCAUGCAGCAAACUAGAACUGCAACGGGCAAAGGGAAUCCGACUGUUUAAUUAAAACAAAGCAUUGCGAAGGUCGUGACCGGUGA
rnacentral:rRNA from 1 species